rnacentral:rRNA from 1 species
UACGUAGGGUGCGAGCGUUAAUCGGAAUUACUGGGCGUAAAGCGUGCGCAGGCGGUUCGUUAAGUUCGAUGUGAAAGCCCCGGGCUCAACCUGGGAACUGCAUUGGAAACUGGCGGGCUUGAGUGUGGCAGAGGGGGGUGGAAUUCCACGUGUAGCAGUGAAAUGCGUAGAGAUCCGGAAGAACACCGGUGGCGAAGGCGGCCUGCUGGGCAGUAGCUGACGCUGAGGCGCGACAGCGUGGGGAGCAAACAGG